rnacentral:snoRNA from 1 species
UCUUCAGUGAUGAUUUAAAUACAGUGACUUUCGUUCUUCUGAGAUUACUGAAGCCAACAAAUCCUGUCCUGAGAAGA